rnacentral:lncRNA from 1 species
ACCAUAACUUGAUCUUUUGGAUGGAACAGUUCUCUUCCUGUUUACUACAUUUGAGAUGAAAACCAGCGAGUUCUUCUGUACAUCUGUGCUGACACUGUGUUUAUCUACAAUGUCUUCAGAAUACUCAGCACCAUCUUCAGGAAGUUUUGCAUCUGGAGGUGGACCUUAGCCGUGGAAAUGCCAACAAGUACCUUCAACCUCCUCAAAGAGUAUGGUGUUCAGGUGAGCUCAGUUUGAGUGUGCAAAGCUAGUUUACAGUCACACCAAGCCCAGGUCCAAACGUAUUUUUGGUUUUGCUGGCAUUCAGUUAUGAUUCACUAGCACUUGUAAACCAAACCAAAACAAAACAAAACACGACCGUAUCCUUGAUCUCAUUUUACUCUUCUUAAUAGUGAGCAAUAUUUUUUUGAGCAUGUAUUAUGUGCCAGGUUCUGCUAAUUUUGUUACAGCAAGAUUCUGACGCAGUGCAUGCAAAGGUGCUGGGGAGGGGUUCUUUAAUAACACAAUGGACUGCUACUGUUAAGUACUAGGUAAUUUGUCUGAAGUCAUGGGCCAGCGGCCUUUCCUGUUCUAGACAUGCUCUUAACUGCUCCUGAGACCCAGAAAUUAUUAGUCUCAGUUUGCUUGAAGCGACUUGCCAAGGACACCCACCGAGUCAACUCUUCCAUUCUGCGUUGUCAUACUCAUCCUUGCAUCCUUCGCUCACCACAUGGCUGCUCAGCCCCUACAAUGUGCCAGACAGUGCAAAGUGCUCACCUGGGUGCAGGACCCAGAACCCAGUCAGAGGGCCUGGGUGACUGGGCUCUCCUGGGCACAUGUCAUACUGCCCGAUGAAGAAAGAAAAUCACCCAAACCCUGGAAAUCCCUUUGUCCUCCUUCCACAAUCCCGUCUCCUAGUUAACUAGGGUUAACUAGUUAACUAGUGUCCCAGAUUUUGUGUUACACAUUCCCAUGCUUUCCUGUAUACUUUUGUCUAGCAAGUAUC